rnacentral:rRNA from 1 species
CACCAAGGCGACGAUCAGUAGCCGACCUGAGAGGGUGGACGGCCACAUUGGGACUGAGACACGGCCCAGACUCCUACGGGAGGCAGCAGUGGGGAAUAUUGCACAAUGGGGGAAACCCUGAUGCAGCGACGCCGCGUGAGCGAAGAAGUAUCUCGGUAUGUAAACUUCUAUCAGCAGGGAAGAGAAUGACGGUACCUGACUAAGAAGCCCUGGCUAACUAC